rnacentral:rRNA from 1 species
CAGCAGCCACGGGAAUACGGAGGGGGCUAGCGUUGUUCGGAAUUACUGGGCGUAAAGCGCACGUAGGCGGCUUGGUAAGUUAGAGGUGAAAGCCCGGAGCUCAACUCCGGAAUUGCCUUUAAGACUGCCGAGCUAGUAGGUGAGGGAGGUAAGUGGAAUUCCGAGUGUAGAGGUGAAAUUCGUAGAUAUUCGGAAGAACACCAGUGGCGAAGGCGGCUCACUGGACGCGUAUUGACGCUGAGGUGCGAAAGCGUGGGGAGCAAACAGGAUUAGAUACCCCCGUAGUCCCUGUCUCUUAUAC